rnacentral:rRNA from 1 species
UACAGAGACUGCAAGCGUUAUUCGGAUUCACUGGGCGUAAAGGGUGCGCAGGCGGCCAAGUGUGUCAGGUGUGAAAUCCCGAGGCUUAACCUCGGAACUGCGCCUGAAACUACUUGGCUAGAGUACUGGAGAGGGUAACGGAAUUCACGGUGUAGCAGUGAAAUGCGUAGAUAUCGUGAGGAACACCAGAGGCGAAGGCGGUUACCUGGACAGUGACUGACGCUCAGGCACGAAAGCGUGGGGAGCAAAAGGG